rnacentral:rRNA from 1 species
UACGUAGGCAGCGAGCGUUGUUCGGAAUUACUGGGGCGUAAAGAGUGUGUAGGCGGUGUUCCCAGUCUGUUGUGAAAUCUCCCGGCUUAACUGGGAGGGUGCAGCGGAAACUAGAAUGCUAGAGGGUGGGAGAGGUAAGCGGAAUUCCUGGUGUAGCGGUGAAAUGCGUAGAUAUCAGGAGGAACACCUGUGGUGUAGACAGCUUACUGGACCACUUCUGACGUGAGACACGAAAGCGUGGGUAGCAAACAGG